CCCCAGUGACCUCGCCGCCGCCGCCGCCGCCGCUCACCUGCCGAGGGAGGAGACCAGACGCCUAGGCGGAAACCAAGACUCCGGCCCUCACACCGCCUGCUGCAGACUCCUCAGGGAAUCGGGGAGACAAAGGGUGGAGUUUCUGAGGCUGCCUGUCGUUGUGGAAAGCUUGAAUACUUGCCUCUGUCCUCGUGUGUCCCUCGCAACAAGAAGGUGCGGCGGCGUCAGCGAUCCUCUAUCUUUAUAUACGAGUCACGAGUCCCUGGAAGCUGCCCGACCACUUGGAAACAGGUUGGCACUGCCGCCCGCCGCUGCCUCACUCACUGCCGGCCCGGUAUGUCAUUGACCUAACCCUCAGUAAGGACCUGGAGUAAGUACCCGCUGAGAUCUUUUCUCCUCCC